UUUAUAUCUGUAGAGUAA
rnacentral:snRNA from 1 species